rnacentral:sRNA from 1 species
UAUUUGUCUGUUGCAUCUCUUGCUUGAAGAAGUAUGAAAUCUUCAGCAAUCUUAUGCAUUCCUUGAAUUCUGCUGUUGUUUGUACUGAUUGUGCUGAGUGAAAGAAAUAUGUGUGCAGGGUAGUCCGAACAGUGAUGUGGUGCUUUUUUAUACUUGGGUUACUUCUGACAUCAUUCCACAUACAUCUAUCUCUGCUCUCUUCUCAGAUUCUUUCACCACUUAUCCACUCUUCUCUGCUUUCAAUUCUGCUUCUUCUCUUUCUUUGACUUCUGUUGGAUGAGUGUCUGUCAUCUGUCUCUGUAGAAAUUUGAGUGCUCACUCAACUGUUUUGCCCACUCUCUUCUUGCUCUCCCCCCUUCUGGCCGGUUUUUCUCUGUGUAUGCAUGCCCAUUGUUUUGUUGGCCUCUCUGUGAAUCUCCUCAUUGAAGAUAUUGAAUUGGUGUGCCAGGCUCUGCACAAGAUGGAGGUGUGCACUGCACUUCUAUGCACACAUCUUGAGAUCCUGGAGUCCUUGGUGCAGGCUGAGUUUUAGUUUCCUUUUUGUUGUGUAUGAACAUUUCUGAGGGUUGUUGGUUUGGACAUUUUCAUUGGUGUAUGUCUUUUCUUUUGUUUUUGUGAUGUUCAUGUAUUUUUAGAAGUUGGGUGAAGCCCUUGUGGUGGUCAUUAGAGCUGUGUGUGAAUA